rnacentral:piRNA from 1 species
UGCUCUCCAUGCCUCAUCCUCACACACUGUGU